UGAUGAGGUAGAGGAGCAGAAAAAAUUAGUAAUUUUAGAAUUAACCAGAAUCCAGUUUAUCUAAAAGGAAAGGUUUUUCUGCCGAAGUGGUUUUUUCAGGAUUCCAAAAUUCCACUGGGGCUGUACAGAAGAUGUACAGAACUGUCAUAGUAAAAUUACUAUGUUGUGCUAUCUCAGAU
rnacentral:ncRNA from 1 species